GUUAAAACACCGGUUCACGUACGAUCACAGACGUUAAACAACGUCGAGCCUGGUCAGUACCUAGAUGGGUGACCGUUUACCAGGUGCUGUAA